CUUGGAAACCACCCGUGUCAAACCCAUCAGCAGGAGCUGGAGGGUAUGCACGGGCCUCUAAAGCAGGGGGCCGGCUGGGAUGGGCGUGAUAGGUGAGUAUUAAGGGUGGGAGGAGGUGGAGGAGGAGGAGGUAAAUCAGUGGGAGGCGGGGCAGGAAUCGCGGAAUUAACCAGGGAGGUAACAGCAGAGAAGAGGGCGGAUAUCGAGCUAGACAGGUCAUUGGCCAUGGUUGAGUCAGGGGUCACCGGGGGAGGGGUCGGAGGGAUGGGAACAGGGGGCUGGGUCGUAACAGCGUGGGUAGAGGGUUGGGACAGCAAAUCAGUCGGGAGGGGAGGAGGCAACGAGGUAGAGGGGACCGGGAUAUCGGGAGGGGGUACCACUGGAGAAGGGGUUGGAGGGGUGGGAACGGGGGGCUGGGUCAGGGCAGUGAGGGCAGAGAUUAGGGACGGCAAAUCAGUCGGGAGGG